rnacentral:rRNA from 1 species
UACGGAGGAUGCAAGCGUUAUCCGGAAUGAUUGGGCGUAAAGCGUCCGCAGGUGGCAAUGUAAGUCUGCUGUCAAAGCGCCUGGCUCAACCAGAUAAAGGCAGUGGAAACUACAUAGCUAGAGUAAGGUAGGGGUAGAGGGAAUUCCUGGUGUAGCGGUGAAAUGCGUAGAGAUCAGGAAGAACACCGGUGGCGAAAGCGCUCUGCUGGACCUUAACUGACACUGAGGGACGAAAGCUAGGGGAGCGAAUGGG